UACGUAGGUGGCAAGCGUUGUCCGGAAUUACUGGGUGUAAAGGGCGUGUAGGCGGGUAGGUAAGUCAGAUGUGAAAUUCCCGAGCUUAACUUGGGCGCUGCAUCUGAAACUAUUUAUCUUGAGUACUGGAGAGGAAAGCGGAAUUCCUAGUGUAGCGGUGAAAUGCGUAGAUAUUAGGAGGAACACCAGUGGCGAAGGCGGCUUUCUGGACAGUAACUGACGCUGAGGCGCGAAAGCGUGGGGAGCAAACAGG
rnacentral:rRNA from 1 species